rnacentral:siRNA from 1 species
UGGUCUUCAGAAAGUUUUCUUG